rnacentral:rRNA from 1 species
UCGAGGAUCUUCGGCAAUGGGCGCAAGCCUGACCGAGCGACGCCGCGUGAGGGAUGAAGGCCUUCGGGUUGUAAACCUCUGUCGAAGGGGAGGAAAUGCAUGUGGGUACUCCCAUGUGCUUGACCUAUCCUUGGAGGAAGCUUGGGCUAAGUUCGUGCCAGCAGCCGCGGUAAGACGAACCAAGCAAACGUUGUUCGGAAUCACUGGGCUUAAAGGGCGCGUAGGCGGUCCCUCAAGUCCGGGGUGAAAUCUUUCGGCUCAACCGGAAAAUUGCCUCGGAUACUGUAGGGCUCGAGUGAGGUAGGGGUAACGGGAACAUCCAGUGGAGCGGUGAAAUGCGUUGAUAUUGGAUGGAACGCCGGUGGCGAAAGCGCGUUACUGGACCUUUUCUGACGCUGAGGCGCGAAAGCUAGGGUAGCGAACGG